CUUGUCUACAGAAGCGUCUGAAUGGAGGAGAGUGUGUUGGCCAUAACACUUGCCACUGUCCUCCAGGCUGGCAGGGCAUGCUAUGCCAAGUCCCACUCUGUGAACAGAAGUGUCUUUAUGGGAGCCGAUGUAUCCGCCCUAAUGUCUGUGCCUGCAGGAAAGGAUAUUCAGGGGUCCUGUGUUCCCAUAAGCUCCCAAUUCCACGAGGCUGAUGGAGGUCUGUGAACUAUGUACUGAAGAUGCUGGGCUGAAACAAGACAAUGAAACUCCUAAUGGAACCACCACACUGAAUAUUAGGAUUCUCGAUGCCCAUGGCUUUUGUUUCUUCAAAAUAAUUUGUAAUAUACGUCACAAUUCCAAAGAUUAUGAUCUGUACAUAAUAUAUGUAUAAUAUUUGUAUAAUACUUUUUCUUAGAACCAAUAAUACUCUAUUUUAUCUAUUAAAG